rnacentral:rRNA from 1 species
AUUGAACGCUGGCGGCAGGCCUAACACAUGCAAGUCGAACGAGUGGCGGACGGGUGAGUAAUGCCUGGGAAACUGCCCGAUGGAGGGGGAUAACUACUGGAAACGGUAGCUAAUACCGCAUACCAUCGGAUGUGCCCCGAUUGGAUUAGCUAGUAGGUGGGGGAACGGCUCACCUAGGCGACGAUCGCUAGCUGGUCUGAGAGGAUGACGAGCCACAAGGGAACUGAAACACGGUCCAGACUCCAACGGGAGGCAGCGGUGGGGAAUAUUGCACAAGGGGGGCAAGCCGGAGAAAGCCAUGCCGCGUGGAGGAAGAAGGCCUUCGGGUUGGAAAGUACGUUAAGCGAGGAGGCGUUACUCGCAGAAGAAGCACCGGCUAACUCCGUGCCAGCAGCCGCGGUAAUUC